GACGAACGCUGGCGGCGUGCUUAACACAUGCAAGUCGAACGGUGAAGCGCCUUCCUUUUUGGUGGGUGUGGAUGAGUGGCGAACGGGUGAGUAACACGUGAGUAACCUGCCCCCUUCUUCUGGAUAACCGCAUGAAAGUGUGGCUAAUACGGGAUAUUCUGGGUCUGUCGCAUGAUGGGUCUGGGAAAGAUAUUGUUUCGGUGGGGGAUGGGCUCGCGGCCUAUCAGCUUGUUGGUGGGGUGAUGGCCUACCAAGGCGGUGACGGGUAGCCGGCCUGAGAGGGUGGACGGUCACACUGGGACUGAGACACGGCCCAGACUCCUACGGGAGGCAGCAGGGGGGAAUAUUGCACAAUGGGCGGAAGGCUGAUGCAGCGACGCCGCGUGAGGGAUGGAGGCCUUCGGGUUGUGAACCUCUUUCGCCAGUGAAGCAGGCCUGCCUCGUUUGUGGGUGGGUUGACGGUAGCUGGAUAAGAAGCGCCGGCUAACUACGUG
rnacentral:rRNA from 1 species